rnacentral:rRNA from 1 species
AGAGUUUGAUCAUGGCUCAGGAUGAACGCUAGCGGCAGGCUUAACACAUGCAAGUCGAGGGGUAUAGUUCUUCGGAACUAGAGACCGGCGCACGGGUGCGUAACGCGUAUGCAAUCUACCUUUUACAGAGGGAUAGCCCAGAGAAAUUUGGAUUAAUACCUCAUAGUAUGUGAGAAUCGCAUGAUUUUCACAUUAAAGUUCCAACGGUAAAAGAUGAGCAUGCGUCCCAUUAGCUAGAUGGUAAGGUAACGGCUUACCAUGGCGACGAUGGGUAGGGGUCCUGAGAGGGAGAUCCCCCACACUGGUACUGAGACACGGACCAGACUCCUACGGGAGGCAGCAGUGAGGAAUAUUGGACAAUGGGCGCAAGCCUGAUCCAGCCAUGCCGCGUGCAGGAUGACGGUCCUAUGGAUUGUAAACUGCUUUUGUACAGGAAGAAACACUCCCUCGUGAGGGAGCUUGACGGUACUGUAAGAAUAAGGAUCGGCUAACUCCGUGCCAGCAGCCGCGGUAAUACGGAGGAUCCAAGCGUUAUCCGGAAUCAUUGGGUUUAAAGGGUCCGUAGGCGGUUUAAUAAGUCAGUGGUGAAAGCCCAUCGCUCAACGGUGGAACGGCCAUUGAUACUGUUAAACUUGAAUUACUAGGAAGUAACUAGAAUAUGUAGUGUAGCGGUGAAAUGCUUAGAGAUUACAUGGAAUAC